UGAAAUCCACGCAAGUGCAUUUCACUGUUCCCUUUGUUGGUUGUUGAAUAGCUCUAAGUCGUGCUUAUUGUGGUUGUCUUUGUUUCUUGUGCAUAUGUCUGUAUCUUUAUUGAUCUGUUUUGUUGUCUAGGAAUGAGUUUAUUAAACGGGAGGGCUCUGGUCGUGGGAAUUGGGGAACUACUGCAGAUGAUAUUGCACCGUGAGACUGUCAUCUCAAUUUUUUUGUUUCCUUAUUUGCCCUUGUCUUUACAUAUCAAGAUUUUCUUAUAGUUUCAAUGUUGGUUUUUAAUCCAAAUUCAGGGAGACUGAAGUACCUGUUAUUGAUGGUGAGAAGAUUGUUGAGGCUGAGAAACAAGCUGGACAGGAAGAUGCUGGAGACACCAAUAAGGAAUCUACCGCUGCUGAGCCAGAAGAGAAGGAACCUGAGGAGAAGGUAAUUGCCAUUUCCUGGUUACGACCAUUGUUUUGCAUGCUUACAUCCCCUAAUUCUGCUGUUGCAAAUUAAUAUCCGUGUCAUGUCAUUAUUAUCCUCUUGGGUGGGCUUUUUUUUGGGGGGGGGGGGCUAUGAAACGUAAAUUCAAAAUUGAAUUCCUGGACUGUCUCCUUGUCGAUUAAAUUAGUUUGGACGAGUAAUACUGGUUCAGUUUAAUUUUUCGAAACCAGAACUGGCUUUUAUUUACUGUCGAUAAAUUCUUCAACAUUAUCCCAGUUUUUUCUAUGGUAGUUUAAUACGUUCCAAUAGACCAGGAGCUAAAAAUGAUGUGUUGCUUGUAUUCACAUGUAAGAUUAAGUGGCCAUCCUAUGAGCUUUGUAUUUGUAGUUUGCUACUCAUGCAUUUGAAGGUAAGUGGAGGAAUUUGGAAUUUCAGAAUUAUCAUUGUCUUCUAACAGAUGAUUCUACAUAUCAAUUGGCAGAUACCUUACUCUACAAUUAUUAGCUCCCUCUUUGCCCAUUUGCCGAAAUGGCCUUUGUGGGGUGGGGGUGGUGGCAGUGUAGAAUAGUAGUGAAAGCCAACUUGUUGAAGUAGGAUGCAUCGACUUUAAAGUAGCUGUUUAUUGUUUUUCCAUUUGGGAACACCAUUAUCUUUUCUGACUUUAUGCCCUCAUUCUUGACUAAAAUAUAAUAACCACUUACUGCUCAGGUUGUUUCAUUUACAACUCACUGUUUCUUUUUAAUAACCACUUGCAAAUAUUUCUAUGAAAUAGUUAUGAACUUUAACUUAUGUUUUCUGGUAGACUAGCUACUUCUUACGUUGAUUAGUAUACGUGGAAUAACUUUUUGAUAGCUAUUUAAUUACUAUGUUGUAGCUAGUGGUAGUUGCACGAUUCCAGUUGUUUUUAUUCAUAUGUGUCUAUGAUUACUAUCCGGAAUCAAUUAUUCAUCUCUGAUUGUGUUGUAGGAGAUGACCCUCGAGGAGUAUGAGAAGGUAAUGGAAGAGAAGAGGAAGGCUUUGGUGGCUCUAAAGCAAGAGGAAAGAAAGGUUAAUUUGGACAAAGAACUUCAAUCCAUGCAACUUCUCUCAAACAAGAAGAAUGAUGAUGAGAUCUUCAUCAAAUUGGUGAGUUGUUUAGUGCUUGCUGCUAUUAUAUUUUGAUUGCUGUCUUAGGAACUUGAUUGUGUUGUAUGCUGGUAUAUUCAUCAUGCUUGAAAUUUUGUGUCUUGGUAGGGUGCUGAGAAAGAUAAGAAAAAGGAGGCAGUGGAAAAAACCAAAAAGGUACUAAAGCUUCUUUUUUAAGUGGUUAUAUUUGGUAUUAUAGCAUCAUUUCUUUAUGUGUUCCUUGGGAAUCCAUUCUGUUAUAUAAACUCUUUUAUUUGUCUAAUGUUAUGUACCUAGAAGGGUCUUUGCUUGAGGGGAGAGUAAUCCAUCCUGCCGCCCUGCAAGCGCAAGCCCCUCCCAAUAAAAAAAAUGUGUUUUAUUUUGGACAUUCAGAAUUCUGGAAAAGUAGAUGCUAUUUUAGAUUGGAAGGUCAACCUCCACUCAUACUUCAACAGCUGCAAAGAAACCUUUUUCUUCCCGUGAUUGUAUUUUCAAUGAAAAAUGGAAUAGGGAAGUAAUAUCAUGUAUUCAAAUGUGGUGGUGUCAUUAUUAUAAUUUUCCCCAAUAUUGCAUAUGCAUUUAUGCAGUGUCAGUAUAUUAUAAUUUGUGGUUUCACCACAAUAUCGUUUUAAUUUUAAAAUCAUUGCAUGCUGUUUUUCUUUUUUCUAAAGAGAUGACAUUGAUCCACAAAUGUUUUCGUGUUCAAUGCAUUUAAUUACUGUGUCAAUUGUUAGGCUUGAUUCAUUCAGUUUCUUGCAGACCAAAAGCAUAAACGAGUUUCUGAAGCCUGCUGAGGGAGAAAGUUACUACCGCCCUGGUGGCCGUGGUAGGGGCCGUGGCCGUGGAAGAGGUAAUGGCGGUGGAUAUGGUGGAAUCAACAGUGUUUCAGCCCCAUCCAUUGAAGAUGUUGGUCAAUUCCCCUCCUUGGCUGUCAAGUAAGGGAGCAAGUCCUGCAUGGAUUAGGUAAAAAAGGAAGCAACUUUUGUCGUCUGAUCUGUCUUCCUUUUUCCGUCAUUUAUGAAAUUUGGGAUUUGAUGAUAACAUAAUGUUUCCUGGAACCCUUUGGUUUUCCUGUAUUAGAAUUUUUUUUUGCUAACUUUAUAAUUGGUCUUUAGUGUAAAUUUAGAUGGUUUCUGAAAGGUGCAUGUCCUGGUUUUUUGUUGAUUUUUUUUUAUACGUUUAUGAAAACCCUUUUCCUUCAUAUUUAGGUGUUAGGCUUUAAUCUUAUACUUUCUUGUUUACUUAUCAAAUUAGUUUUGGUUGGAGUUUAUAGAAACAACAAUUAUGUUUAUUUUUCAAUAACGAUGUCUAACUCUAUCCCUCGGAAACAAUCUCUCUACCUCCACAAGGAAGGGGUAAGGUCUGUGUAGACUCUACCCUACCCUUCUCUGACCUCAAUUGUAGGAUUUACUGUGUAUGUUGUUUUACGUCUCAACUCAUUGUACGUUAGUUGUCGAGAAUCUCAUAAUAGAUCCUUGCUUAGCUUGAAAUUGAUAUGAGUUGAAUUUUUUUCUGCUUAGUUAGACUCUUCAUUGACAAAACUCUAAUAUUGUCUCUAGAUUGUGUGAUGUUUUGAAAAAAUUAUCGACGUCUCUUUACCUGAUUUGUUUUUAUACUGUGUAGGAUUAUGUUGAUCAGCGUGAGCUAAAAGUUGGAUGCCAGUUUUGUAACAUUUUUGGUUAUUUUUUCUUUCUUUCUGAUUUUGGUUAUUGUUGUUGAACAUGGUGUAAUAUCAUCAUUUUUAUGAACUUAAUAGUAGAUGAUAUAAUGUUACAAGAAUGGUUCACUCAUAUUUUCUGGUAACAAAUUCAAUAUAUUCUUCUAGGAGGAAUAUCUGGUCCUUUUAUUUUGUAUAUUUUGAAAGUCUUAGUCAUGCAGUAUUGCAAAAGAGAUGGGGUGUUUUAGGGAUUGUAAUCGUUUUUAUUUAUAGAGUUAUAAACCUUUUUCUACGAGAUAAAGGAUCAAGUAGAUUCUGAAAAUUGUGCUUUUCUGUUGGGUAAAAGAAAAAUCCAAUCAUGUUAAGAAAAUGAUGGCAAACAUCCAAUUAAUGAUUGCUUCCCCUUUUCUAACGAAGGAGUAGCCCUUAUUGAAGAGGGUUUUGUCUUGUUGGUUUUCGAAUGCAAGUUUUAUUUUGGCCAUUGUAGUUUGAUUGAUCAACUAAGCCUGUUCAUGGACUAAAGUAUCCUAUUCUUAAGACUCAUAGAUGCAACUUAUGACAAUCUUAUAUAUCUAAGUUAAAUAACUAUAAUUUAUUUAAUUAUGAUUUGUUGCUACAUGUUAGAAUGUAUAUAUGUAAUUAUUAGUAUAUAUAUGUAUCAAUGAUUGUAUUUGUAUAUUUGUUAGAUAAUUAUAUAUAUGUAAUAAGUAGGGAAAACUAACUCAUUAAACAUACAUACAUACUAUGUAUAAUAAUUUUACCUAUACUUCCAAAUAAUUAAAUAUUUUAUCACUAAUUAAUCAUUUCCUACCAUAUAUUGAGAAGAAACAUCUAGAUACAUGAAUUUGUGUUAUCAGAUAUCCUAAAUUAAGGAGAGAGACGACGAGAUGAGGAGGAAGGUGAGCGAGAUAGUCACCUGAUACAUGCGAAUCACACCAUAUACACACUAGCUACAUGUAUUUGGUGUGAUUCAGAUGUAUCUGAGAUAGAAGAUACAGAGGAGAGCGACGAUCGAGAUAGCAGGAAGGUGAAUGAGAUUUCUUAUGUAUCGCAGCAACAUGUGAAUCCACCUCAAUACAAUGUAUCUAGAACAAUUUAUACCUAUUUUUAAACUCAUUUAUCUCGAGAUACAUGUAUCUGAUUGCACUAAAAUCUAUUAAAAAUUAUAAUACUGUAAAUUAAAAUGUUUCUAAGUAAUUAAGAAAUUUCUGUAAGUUUCCCUAAUAAGCAUGAAUACCCAUCAAUGAAAUACGAUUAUAUUUAGACAAAACUAAAGGCCCAAGAAACUUCAACAAACAAACCACAGCCCGGCCCAUACCCAAAACAUACACAUAACCUCCGCACCCCCACCAUAUCUAGGGUUUUUAAGCUUCCGUUCACUUCAGUUCUUCAAUUAUCAGCCGCUUUGGUUAGGUUUUCACAAUACCCACAAAUUUGUUUCUCUUCAAAUUUACCCAUAAAUUUAUCUUCACAUGGAUUUUAAUCUAUAGGGGUUUCUUGAUUUAUUGAACAAAUCGGUUCUUUGCAUCACUCUCUCUAUAUAUCUGUUUAGGAACUCCGAGAAGAGGUAAAAAAAUGGCUACUUUGAACCCAUUCGACCUUUUGGAUGAUGAUGCUGAGGACCCAAGUUUGCUAAUUGCUGCUCAGCAGCUAAAGGCUCCUGUUGCAUCUGCACCAGCCAAGAAGGGUCCAGUUCAGCCUACUAAGCCUGCUGCUAAGUUGCCCUCCAAGCCGGUUCCUCCUUCACAGGCUGGUAAAUAUUCUAUCUUUGAACAUUUUUGUGAUUUGGGUUGGUGUAUAUUCAUUCAUAUUUCUUAAUGCGUUAGGUAUUAUAUGAUAAGUGAGGAAAGAGAUCCGUGCGUGUAGAAAAAGUAGUUUUUUUUUGCCUUUAAUGAGAAUACAUGCUAUUUGCAUGGUGAUGCUUGUCUUCAUAUUCACUUUCAAUGUCUAUUCCCUUGCUGUAUAUAGUAUUUAUCUUUGUAUUAAUGGUAGGUUUCUUAAGGAUAAUGUCCUGUGAUUGUGAGAUUAAAUUAUGGUUAUGGACUUAUGGUAUAUGGGGAUUUGAUUGGCUGGAAACUGUGAUACGUCAGUCUUGGUGUUUUUUGAUUGUCUCCUCUGUCUGAUGUGUCAUAUCUUGUGUUGUUCUGUAGUACCAUAAUUCUAUAAAAGGGAAGUUAAAUCUUUGGACUUAGCUUGAGUGGCAAAAGGUGGAGGAUUUGUCGCUUAGGUCGCAGGUUCAAGCCCCACACCACACAAAGCGAAACUGGUAUUUAAGUGGAGAAGGGUAGAGGCGCGGGACCAUUAUCCACCGAGUUUAGAAGGCUGUGAUUGGUCCAAAAGGCGGGUCAUAGAUAGAUUUCUCGGUUAUCAGAAAACAAAACUGUUUGGACUUUGCUGCUCUUUAGUUUUAAACUGUUGUGAAUCAACUUCUAGAUCACAUAUCGAGUUUGUCUUUACCUGAUUCCUGUGUUGUACUACAUAUGUUUUCAUAAAUAGUACUCCCUCUAGCUAAGUUGAGCAGACUCUUUACUUUCAAAGCUGCGCCCGUGUAUUAGCCCUUUAGUUCAUAUUAAGUGAAUUACUUGGACUUUUUUCAUAGUUCAAAAUAAGUGAUUGUUUAAAGUUCAAGAUAAUUAUUGGUACUUUUUUCCCCAUGUUUACCCUUUAUUUAAUGAAGGUUCUUAACUAGUAUAAAUGGGAGAAUAGUUUGGGAAUAAUCAAAAUGUUAAUAAUAGAAAGUAGCCUUUAAUUUUUGUCCUUAAUAUUUUUCUUAAGAGAUGUGCCAUAACCCCAACAAUUGACUUAUAUGGUCAGAGGGAGUAUAUUUUUUCCCAUGGCUUAUUUGUGUCAUAAUUUUUGUGCAGUGAGGGAAGCCAGGAGUGAUGGCCAGAGAGGAGGAGGCCGCGGGGGUCCACGUGGAGGAGCCCGUGGUCGUGGGCGUGGACGUGGGUUUAACCAAGACUUUGCUGCUGAUGAGAAUGCUUUUGGCAGCAAUAAUGGAUUCUCUGGGCGGUACAGUGCUCCAGAAAAUGGAGAACCAGGAAAGGUCUCUGAAAGGAGAGGUGGAUAUGGUGGAUCUCGUGGGGGGUUCUAUGGAGGUCGUCGUGGUGGUUUCAAUAAUGGGGAUACUGCAGAAGGAGAAGUUGAACGCCCAAGGAAAGUGUUUGAUCGACGAAGUGGCACUGGCCGUGGGUAAGUGAUUCUGCUAUUUAUGGAAUUCACACAAGUGCGUUUCACUAUUCCCUUUGUUGGGUUGUUCAAUAGCUCUAAGGCGUUCUUAUUGUGGUUGUCUUUGUUUCUUGUGCACAUGUGUGUAUCUUUAUUGUUCUGUUCUAUUGUAUAGGAAUGAGUAUAUCAAACGGGAGGGAUCUGGUCGUGGGAAUUGGGGAACUACUGCAGAUGAUAUUGCACCGUGAGAUUAUCAUCUCUAUUUUUUGUUUCCUCAUUGUCCUUGGCUUUACCUAUUAAUUUUUUUCUAGUAGUUUAAUGUUGAUUUUUUAAUCCAAAUUCAGGGAGACUGAAGUACCUGUUAUUGAUGGGGAGAAGAUUGUCGAGGCUGAGAAACAAGCUGGACAGGAAGAUGCUGGAGAUAACAAUAAGGAUUCUACUGCUGCUGAGCCAGAAGAGAAGGAACCUGAGGAAAAGGUAACUGACUUUUUCUGGUGAAGACCAUUAUUUGCUUUGUUUGCUUACAUGCCCUAGUUCUAUUGUUGCAAAUUAUCUGUGUCACGGCACUAUCAUUCUCUUAAGUGGGGUUGCUUUUGGGGGGAAGGAGGUGAGAGAAUGAGGUGCAAAUUCAAUAUUGAAUUCUUGGACUGUCUCCUUGUCGAUUAAAUCAGUUUAGACAAGGAAUAUCAGCUCAGUUGUCCAUAUUCCAGUGCAAUCUAACUUGUCGAAACCAGUAAUGUAUUUUAUUUAUUGUUGGUAAGUUCUUCAAUAUUUAUCCCAGUAUUUCCAAUGGUAGUUUCAUACCCCUUCCGAUAUAGACGAGGAACUAACAAAUAAGCUUUGACUAAAAUAAAACAACCACUUGCUGCUAUUGUUUUUUUCAUUUACUACUCACUGUUUCUUUUUAAAUUAGCAUUGUGCUGUUAUAAAUGUUUCCUGUUGCAGAUAUUUCUAUGAACUUUAACUAAUUUUUCUGGUAGACUAGGCGCUUCUUUACUUUGCUUAGUAUUUGUGGAUUAACUUUCUUGUAGCGGUUUGCUUUACAAUGUUGUAGCUAGUGUUAUUUGCAUGAUUCCAGUUGUUAUUUUCAUAAGUGUCUAUGAUCAUUAUCUGGAACUAUUAAUUAUUCAUCUCUGCUUUUGUUGUAGGAGAUGACCCUCGAGGAGUAUGAGAAGGUAAUGGAGGAGAAGAGGAAGGCUUUGGUGGCUCUAAAGCAGGAGGAAAGAAAGGUUAAUUUGGACAAAGAACUUCAAUCCAUGCAACUUCUCUCAAACAAGAAGAAUGAUGAUGAGAUCUUCAUCAAAUU
rnacentral:lncRNA from 1 species